GGAAGUUCAAUGGAACCUCCUUGAUGCGUGUGCGCCGUGUGUGUUGUGUGUGUGUGUACACACACACAUGGCGCGCACGCAUCAAGGAGGUUCCAUUGAACUUCC
rnacentral:pre_miRNA from 1 species